UACGUAGGGGGCGAGCGUUGUCCGGAAUUACUGGGCGUAAAGAGCACGUAGGCGGCUAUAUAAGUCAGAUGUAAAAAACCUGGGCUUAACCGAGGAGAUGCAACUGAAACUAUAUAGCUAGAGUCAAGGAGAGGAGAGCGGAAUUCCUGGUGUAGCGGUGAAAUGCGUAGAGAUCAGGAAGAAUACCAAUGGCGAAAGCGGCCCUCUGGAAUUAAACUGACGCUGAGGUGCGAAAGCGUGGGGAGCAAACAGG
rnacentral:rRNA from 1 species